AGAGUUUGAUCCUGGCUCAGAACGAACGCUGGCGGCGUGGAUAAGACAUGCAAGUCGAACGAGAGAAUUGCUAGCUUGCAAAUAAUUCUCUAGUGGCGCACGGGUGAGUAACACGUGAGUAACCUGCCCCCGAGAGCGGGAUAGCCCUGGGAAACUGGGAUUAAUACCGCAUAGUAUCGAAAGAUUAAAGCAGCAAUGCGCUUGGGGAUGGGCUCGCGGCCUAUUAGUUAGUUGGUGAGGUAACGGCUCACCAAGGCGAUGACGGGUAGCCGGUCUGAGAGGAUGUCCGGCCACACUGGAACUGAGACACGGUCCAGACACCUACGGGUGGCAGCAGUCGAGAAUCAUUCACAAUGGGGGAAACCCUGAUGGUGUGACGCCGCGUGGGGGAAUGAAGGUCUUCGGAUUGUAAACCCCUGUCAUGUGGGAGCAAAUUAAAAAGAUAGUACCACAAGAGGAAGAGACGGCUAACUCUGUGCCAGCAGCCGCGGUAAUACAGAGGUCUCAAGCGUUGUUCGGAAUCACUGGGCGUAAAGCGUGCGUAGGCUGUUUCGUAAGUCGUGUGUGAAAGGCGCGGGCUCAACCCGCGGACGGCACAUGAUACUGCGAGACUAGAGUAAUGGAGGGGGAACCGGAAUUCUCGGUGUAGCAGUGAAAUGCGUAGAUAUCGAGAGGAACACUCGUGGCGAAGGCGGGUUCCUGGACAUUAACUGACGCUGAGGCACGAAGGCCAGGGGAGCGAAAGGGAUUAGAUACCCCUGUAGUCCUGGCAGUAAACGGUGCACGCUUGGUGUGCGGGGAAUCGACCCCCUGCGUGCCGGAGCUAACGCGUUAAGCGUGCCGCCUGGGGAGUACGGUCGCAAGAUUAAAACUCAAAGAAAUUGACGGGGACCCGCACAAGCGGUGGAGUAUGUGGCUUAAUUCGAUGCAACGCGAAGAACCUUACCUGGGCUUGACAUGUAAUGAACAACAUGUGAAAGCAUGCGACUCUUCGGAGGCGUUACACAGGUGCUGCAUGGCCGUCGUCAGCUCGUGUCGUGAGAUGUUUGGUUAAGUCCAGCAACGAGCGCAACCCCUGUUGCCAGUUACCAGCACGUGAAGGUGGGGACUCUGGCGAGACUGCCCAGAUCAACUGGGAGGAAGGUGGGGACGACGUCAGGUCAGUAUGGCCCUUAUGCCCAGGGCUGCACACGUACUACAAUGCCCAGUACAGAGGGGGCCGAAGCCGCGAGGCGGAGGAAAUCCUGAAAACUGGGCCCAGUUCGGACUGUAGGCUGCAACCCGCCUACACGAAGCCGGAAUCGCUAGUAGUGGCGCAUCAGCUACGGCGCCGUGAAUACGUUCCCGGGUCUUGUACACACGGCCCGUCA
rnacentral:rRNA from 1 species